AUAUGGAAUGUGGGUUAAAAGAUCAGUAGGUCCUAGACCAGCGAACACCAUGAGUAAAUACACAACGCAAUCAAGUUUUCAUGAGAAUGAGGAGGCCAGCUUCCCUAAAAUGAUAAGUACAUGCUGGGUAAGCAGAUUGGACCUGGUUAUGAAGGUUUUGAAAAGCACACCAGAGCUUAGGCUGGAUAUAAUAGUCAACGAGGACUUCUAUAGGUGAUGUGGGUUGGACCAAGGGAACCCCUUACUUCAUAUGCUGAUGGCUUGGGAACCCUGGCCUCUUACCUUUGCUGUCUUGGGAAUUAUGACUACUCUCAAUCCCCAUAAGGUCCUCUUUCUCACAGGCAUGAAGACAACAGUGAGUGAGGCAGAACAUCCCCUCUUAUGUGAAGGCACACGUCGGGAGAAGGGUGACCUGGCAUUAGCACUAAUGAUCACUUACAAGGACGACCAGGCCAAGCUUAAGAAGGUAAGAUACUGGGGCUGGG
rnacentral:lncRNA from 1 species